AGUUGAAAACUUUUCAAUUCAAUUCAGUAAAAAGUAUACGUUUUACCAGAAGUACAUAUAAAUAUAGAUAUAUUUAAUAUAGAUAUAUUUAAUGUACUUCUGAUUUUACACCUUGAACUUUCGACUUUGUUUAUGUAAAGUUAAAUUUAAUUAAUAUAAUUUUUUUUCUUCCAUGAUUGAUAGUAAUUUCUCAUCAGUGCAGCCCUGGUAUACUGAAUGUUUCAAUCUGCAAUGCUGAGGUGAUUGUCAUGAUAGUACAGACUUAACCUUGACAAUUUUUUAAUAUGGCUGUAAGCCUGUAAAUAAGGGAAAGUAAGGUGAAAUUUGUUUCUCGCUGAGGUGAAUUUCUGAAUCAUCAGAACUGUAGGUAUACCAAAGUAAUUUAGUGAUAACAAUCUGCUGCUGAAAUGUAUGACUAACUGUACAGUUUAAUUUAGCUUAAUGUGGCACAUAUUUGUUUUUACACAGAAGACACACGUGAACUGACGCCAUAUUUGAAAGCCGCUCAGGAUGGCAAGGAUGUACCCCUUACUGGUGAUUUGGAAUAUGGCAGAGGCUAGAGAAACAAACAGCCAAAGUCUUGGUCAUCAGACAGUGAGAGCAAGGAUGAAAGUGUUGAGGAGACUCUAUCUGACAGACAGCAGAAGAAAAAGAGGAAAGUAAGCCGUACAGCUGUGGGAUAUGAUGCUCGGGCACAAUUGAAGGCCCAACUUGCUGCUCUGGGAAGAACUUCACCGAAAGAUACAUGUACAGAAAUGGAAUCCCUGAAGAAGGAAGUCCUCCAGUUGAGAGAGGAAAACAAAUCCCUUCGAGAUGCAUUGAGGGUUGUUGAAGGACUUCCUGGCCUGCUAAUGAAGAUGGACGACUUAUCACGUCAGGCAACAAUACUAUCAGCUCGACGUCCUGCUGUCGCUCUGCCAGAGAGGAGCUGGCCAACAGCAGCUUGACAGGAAAAAAAUCCAAUGCUUUUAAGGAUAAGCAUGAGAAACCAAAACUGGAUGACAAGAAAGUGUCUGCUAUUAUUGAUUUUGUGAAGAAGCUCCAUCCCUCAAGUGAAGCAAAUGUGAUAAAGAAAAUCAUUGGAGUGAAACUGAACAUUGCGCAGAAAAUGGGAAAAAAAGAAGGCCUCAGAAACAAAUUCUGCU